rnacentral:rRNA from 1 species
UGAGCAAUCUGCCCUUCUCUCUGGGAUAACCCCGGGAAACCGGAGCUAAUACCGGAUACUCCGGCUGGAUCGCAUGGUCCGGCCAGGAAAGGUCCGCCGGAGAGGGAUGGGCCCGCGGCCUAUCAGCUUGUUGGUGAGGUCACGGCUCACCAAGGCUACGACGGGUAGCUGGUCUGAGAGGACGACCAGCCACACUGGAACUGAGAUACGGUCCAGACCUCCGUACGGGAGCA